AGUGAACGCUGGCGGUAGGCCUAACACAUGCAAGUCGAACGGCAGCACAGUAAGAGCUUGCUCUUACGGGUGGCGAGUGGCGGACGGGUGAGGAAUACAUCGGAAUCUACUUUUUCGUGGGGGAUAACGUAGGGAAACUUACGCUAAUACCGCAUACGACCUACGGGUGAAAGCAGGGGAUCUUCGGACCUUGCGCGAUUGAAUGAGCCGAUGUCGGCUUAGCUAGUUAGCGGGGUAAAGGCCCACCAAGGCGACGAUCCGUAGCUGGUCUGAGAGGAGGAUCAGCCACACUGGAACGGAGACGGCGUCAAGGCGCCUACGAGAGGCAGCAGUGGGGAAUAUUGGACAAUGGGCGCAAGCCUGAUCCAGCCAUACCGCGUGUGUGGAGAAGACCUUCGGGUUGUAAAGACCUUUUGUUGGGAGAGAAAAGCAGCAGGUUAAGACCCCGCUGUUCUGACGGUACCCAAAGAAUAAGCACCGGCUAACUACGUG
rnacentral:rRNA from 1 species